UACGUAGGUGGCAAGCGUUAUCCGGAUUUAUUGGGCGUAAAAGGAACGCAGGCGGUCUUUUAAGUCUGAUGUGAAAGCCUUCGGCUUAACCGGAGUAGUGCUUUGGAAACUGGGAGACUUGAGUGCAGAAGAGGAGAGUGGAACUCCAUGUGUAGCGGUGAAAUGCGUAGAUAUAUGGAAGAACACCAGUGGCGAAAGCGGCUCUCUGGUCUGUAACUGACGCUGAGGUUCGAAAGCGUGGGUAGCAAACAGG
rnacentral:rRNA from 1 species